AGGAGAGGUACUGGGGGUCAAGGAGAGGUUUAUGCCAUUAGGAGAGGUACCGGGAGGUAGGGAGAUGUUCAUGACAUUAGGAGAGGUACUGGGAGGUAGGGAGAUGUUCAUGACAUUAGGAGAGGUACUGGGGGUCAAGGAGAGGUUCAUG